UACGUAGGUACGCGAGCGUUGUCCGGAAUUACUGGGCGUAAAGAGCUCGUAGGUGGUUUGUCGCGUUGUUCGUGAAAACUCACAGCUUAACUGUGGGCGUGCGGGCGAUACGGGCAGACUUGAGUACUGCAGGGGAGACUGGAAUUCCUGGUGUAGCGGUGGAAUGCGCAGAUAUCAGGAGGAACACCGGUGGCGAAGGCGGGUCUCUGGGCCGAUACUGACGCUGAGGAGCGAAAGCGUGGGGAGCGAACAGG
rnacentral:rRNA from 1 species